rnacentral:rRNA from 1 species
UACGAAGGGUGCAAGCGUUAAUCGGAAUUACUGGGCGUAAAGGGUGCGUAGGCGGUUGUUUAAGUCUGUCGUGAAAUCCCCGGGCUCAACCUGGGAAUGGCGAUGGAUACUGGACAGCUAGAGCGUGUCAGAGGAUGGUGGAAUUCCCGGUGUAGCGGUGAAAUGCGUAGAGAUCGGGAGGAACAUCAGUGGCGAAGGCGGCCAUCUGGGACAACACUGACGCUGAAGCACGAAAGCGUGGGGAGCAAACAGG